AAUGCCUACUGUAGAAGUCCCAUAGGGUCAUACUAUUUGCUUUUUUUUCCCCACCACUCUCUUAUGUUCCUCCCAUUUGAACCCAGGAAUACCCUGCUCUUGCCUGAAUCAUGUUUCCUGCUUGGAUAUGAUGUAUUUUCUCAGGGAUUUUUUUAAGCAGUCUUUGCCGUAGGUCUUUCCAGGGUUGAGCCAUCACCUUUGUGGUUGAUCCCUCCCGCCUCUCUCAUGGACUCUUCACUACCAGACGUAGCAACAGACGGACGCAUCGGACAGGGGGUUGGGGGUCGUAUUGUCCCAGGUAGUGUAGGGGUUGGAGUACCCCGUGCUGUACAUCAGCCAUAAGCGCUCCAUGCGAGAGACGAAGUACAGCACAAUAGAGAAGGAGUGCCUGGCUAUCAAAUGGGAAGUCCUCACCUGCCAAUAUUAUCUGUUGGGGUGGGCCUUCACCCUCUGUUCGGACCACGCCCCCCUCCAGUGGCUCCACUGCAUGAAAGAUGCCAACGCGGAGUUCUUCAGCCAUUUAAAUUCGACGUGGGCCAUAGGCCGGGGGCAGAGAUGGCUGUGAGGGAUUUCCUCUUUUGGCAGAUGUGGUGGGGUAUGGGGUUUUAGUCGGCGGCAGGUCGGAUGGCUCCUCGGCAUGAGUCAGGCAGUUGGGGUAUGUGGAGACGGAGGCAUGGACGAGCGCCGGUUUGUGAAUGGAGGGCGGAGCACAGAGAGGUCCUUCAGAAAACCUGCUCUUCAGACUGGGGCGAAGAUUCACCUUUCAACACAACAACAACCCGAAGCAUACAGCCAAGCCAAAACUGCAGCGGCUUCAGGACAAGUCUGCGAAUGUCCUUGAGUGGCCCAGCCAAGCCCGAACUUGAACCCUAUCUGUGGAGAGACCUGAAGAUUGCAGUUCUCCCCAUAUAAUCAGACUGAACUUGAGAGUAUAUGCCUGGAAGAAUGGGAGAAACUGCCCAGCUCCAGUAGUGCAAAGCUUGUAGAGACUUACUCAAGAAGGCAAGUCUGUAAUAGCUGCCAAAGAUGUGGAAUAUUUCUCCAAAUGAGAGUUUAGAGUUGAUUUUGAACAUUUGCAACAUUUUCUUAAAACAUGUUUUGCUUUGUAAUUACGAGUUAGCGAAUACUUUCUUGAAGCCACUGUACCGUUCUCUUUUUCUCUUUCUCUACGUAUGUUUUUCUAGCUUCUCUUUUCUUUCUUGCCCACCCUUUCACUGUUUUAUUCUUAUAAUGAGAGGCUGAGAGGCUCACACCCUUCACAGAUGAAGAAUGGUAUUGUUUUAGACCCAGUGGUACUUGUAUACUCUCUCUCUCUCUCUCUCUCUCUCUCUCUCUCUCUCUCUCUCUCUCUCUCUCUCUCUCUCUCAAUCUCUCUCUCCCUCUCUCACAGUCUCCUGUCUCUUUUCUGAGAAAUACAUUCAACCCUGGGUGAAGGUCAGAUUUGUUCUUUUGUUUUCAGUGGCCUUGCACCAUCUCAUGAUAUUUUUCCACAUUUUCAGACACAAGGAGCUUUGUGUGUGUGUGUGUGUGUGUGUGUGUGUGUGUGUGUGUGUGUGUGUGUGUGUGUGUGUGUGUGUGUGUG
ensembl:lncRNA